UAUUAACAUGUGGCGUGGCCACACUUGGAGGAUUUGUAGGGGCAGUUUCCUCCGGCGGAGGUUAUGGUGGCAAAUAUGGUUUGUUAUCGAAAGGAGGAGAAAGGGUUAGAUUUGAAACCGGAUUGGUUGGUGGCGUAUAGGGGCACUGAAUGAAUGAAGGUGGGAUUGGUGAAUUGAAAUUGGGGUUUGGGAAUGUGGUUCGUGAAGGAAUGAAUGCAAGACCCACCAGAACAUUGUGGUGACGACGGCAUCAAAGUCCCAUU
rnacentral:lncRNA from 1 species